GGCCGGUGGUGGGCGGGCAGGCGGUGCAUAGCCCGGGCCGGGGGCCUCGCAGCGGGUAGGAGUGCUCUCGGUGCAAGGUUAAGGACUGGCUUAAGGGUUUUCAGGGCAGGAUUGGUCGCUGUUGUGGGGAACAACCUCUUGGAGUCCUCUCUAAGUGGGAGGAGGGAAAGUGGUUCUCAUUAGUGUGAGGUUUUCAAUGUGUUUAAGUUAGCUUGGUGAGUUGUAACGGGGACAGUCCUCACUGCAUUCGUUUACACCUCCUUCACAAGGCCAAGCUGUUCUGACCUGCAGUGAAGUGUUCUGGCUGUGAUGUGUCCAGUGUAAUGCAUGACCCACUCCUACAUUGUUAAGCAGCAGUGUAAGGGAGAGAGCCUGUGCCCUCACUGAAGGAAGAAUAGGAAGAGAUCAGCUAUUUUUUAACAACAGAAAAUGGUGAGAGUUGUGAGAGAGCGAACUUAUGAAGGCCAUAGGGCUGGGCAUUGAAGUCAGACAGCAGGGAGUUGCAAACCUGUGGUAAGUUAGGGUACCUCUCCCUCUUCUUCUUCCUCUCUUUUCCUUGUCUCCUUGCCUGGCUUUUUUUUCACCCUGUACACAAUUUGGAUGGAAGGGUGUCCUGGAGCCAGUGUGGUGCUCGUCGUUUCUUUCCCUGAGUGCAAGGAGAGGCUUCAAGCCGUGUGCAAGGAGACACUGAGGCAUGAGGAGCAAGUUUUGAGGGAACUCUUCUCCAGAGUUCCUCCAGAGAACGUCUCCUUGAGCAUUUCUGUGUGGGCUUUUGGAGAAGGAGUUUGGUGAAGCAUGUGGAUUGCAAUGAUACUGGGCUGGGUCCAGAUGGCUGGGCCCCUGAGUCAGCUUGUACUCCAGGGCAGGGCUGGGAGCUUCCUGACAGCACUGCUGGGAGUGGAGCAAAAGCUGCAUUUCCUUUCUCAGCGUAUCUCUGCUGGACUGUGGACCUGGGACUUCGCCUUUCCCCAGGCUCCUGGGCUCUGCAGGGAGAGGUUGCUAGAUUUGGAGGUUAGGUUCUUGACAUUGUAGCAGGGAACAUUUGCAGGUGUAAAUUAUCAUAAGAAGCAAGCUGAAUUAAAAUUGCUUCAGGGGAAACCAAGGAGAUGUUCUUCUUCCGUUAACGUAGUAGUUUACAGAAACAGCUCUUGUCCUUUUCUCUGUGCCUUGACUGGUGCAGUUCAGAUUUAUCUGCAGGACAGGAAAAGUUUGAAAAUCGCACCUCCCAUGAGUGCAAAAGGAAGGUUACGUUAGAGCAGUUCUGGAAAGUUAACUGAUAAUGUCUUCUAGGUUGGUCCUAUGAGUGGAGAAAGUCCAGCUUUUCUGAGUGAAAGAGUCAGUUCAAGUGAGAAGCUGGCAGUUAUGUCUCAUGUGAUAUGGAAGGAGACUAUGAGAGUCCCUUGGCUGCUGGGCAGUUAAAAUGGAGAAAUAGAGCGAUGUUGAUGAACAGACACUUAUUUUUUGUAACCAAAUGUUUUCUGAUAGUUAAAUUAGCCCUGAUUUUUCUUUGUGCAGAUGUGUCACUUUACCCAAAGAAGUUCAACAUUGUCAUUUCCAAAACUAUGUAAUAUAUUUCGGCGGUAAGUUGGAGAUUCGUAUAGUUGUGUAAUGGGGAAAGAGACAGUUAUUGGGUGAACUGGGUAUAGUUACACCUGUGAACUGUAAACUUUGAAAAGAAGGGUUUUUGUUCUAGUACAUAUUGGAUAAUUCUUAUAGACUGCUGCUAUGGUCCUGACUGUGAAUCUAAGUCCUCCAUGCUGGAGAGCAAUGGGUGGAGCAAGAGUGCCCUAAGAAAACCCAUAUGGUUCACUCUGAAAAAGGAAACAUAAUAAGAGAUAUAAACUUAAACUCCAGGGAACAUUAAAGAAAAAAAAUUCAGGUGUAAGUCUAAUGCAUCUUAAUACAUCCAGGUGGGGCUUUCACCCUUUACUGAUGAACUUUUAUAGUAUCAUCAUGCUACCUGGAAGUAUUGAUUUAAUUUAUAAUUUACAAUGUAGCUGGGUGUGCAAAGGAAAAUUUUCAAGUCCAUGUCAGGAAUGUUUUUUCCAGGAUUAUACAGGAACGGAAAGAAACAGAAUAAUUGUGUCACUUGAAAGUGAAAGCUUCAUCUCCAAAUGCACGCUGUAUUAUCAAUAGUGUAUUCAAAAAGAGUAUGCUGAGAGCAGUGUAGUUUUAUGUGUCUCAGGAGACUUCUGUAAUCUGUUAAGGGUAAAGGGGGAGGUUACUGUUUGCCAAAUGCUGCACUUUGCCAGCUCCUAACAGUCUACAAUCAUCAGUACAUAGCUGUGCCACCCUUGCACCUUAUUAGAUGGAUGAAAAGAGUGUUUUGAUGCCUUCUGCUUAUAUUUUAGCCAUUCGGUUACAUUUUGCGCAAAGGCAGAGGAGGAGGAGGGAAUAUUUUGAAAUGUUUCUGUUUGGGGGAUUGGGGAAAGUUUGCUUUUAACAUUACUCUCCUGAAAAACACUGUUACCAGGUUUCAUCAUACAAGUACCUCCCACUUGUGCAGCUGCAGUAAAACAGUUAGUAAUGAAAAAUACCAAGACCCUUUUCAACUUGGUAGAAAAGACUUGAAGAAUCUCUAUGAGGAUAUUAAAAAGGAAUUACUUGUAUCUGCUGCAGAACUUAAGGAAAUGUGUGAUUAUUACUUUGAUGGGAAGGGAAAGGCCUUUCGACCAAUGAUUGUGGUGCUAAUGGCAAGGGCUUGCAACAUUCACCAUAAUAAUUCCAGGGAGGUGCAAGCAAGCCAGCGCUCCGUGGCCAUAAUUGCUGAGAUGAUCCACACAGCUAGCCUAGUUCAUGAUGAUGUUAUUGAUGAUGCAAAUUCUCGCAGAGGAAAAAUGACAGUCAAUCAAAUCUGGGGAGAGAGGAAGGCUGUUCUAGCUGGUGACUUCAUCCUUUCAGCUGCUUCCGUAGCUUUAGCACGAAUUGGAAAUACUACUAUCAUCUCUGUUCUAACUCAGGUGAUUGAAGAUCUGGUGCGUGGUGAAUUCCUCCAGUUGGGUUCCAAGGAAAAUGAGAAUGAGAGAUUUGCUCACUACCUCGAGAAGACUUUUAAGAAGACUGCAAGUCUUAUAGCAAACAGUUGUAAAGCAGUAUGUUUCAAUUCUAGGCUGCCCUGAUCCCAAAGUUCAUGAGAUUGCAUACCAGUAUGGAAAAAAUGUUGGCAUAGCUUUUCAGCUAAUAGAUGAUGUGCUGGAUUUUACAUCAUGCACUGACCAUCUGGGGAAGCCAGCAGCAGCAGAUCUCAAGCUUGGAUUAGCCACAGGCCCUGUCCUGUUUGCUUGUCGACAGUUUCCAGAAAUGAAUGCUAUGAUAAUGAGAAGAUUCAGCAAGCCAGGAGAUGUUGAACGUGCUCGGAAGUAUGUGUUGCAGAGUGAUGGUGUGCAGCAAACAACCUACCUCGCCCAGCGCUACUGCCAUGAAGCUACACGAGAGAUCAGUAAGCUACGGCCAUCCCCUGAGAGAGAAGCCCUCAUCCAACUGACAGAAAUGGUACUCACGAGAGACAAGUGAGAGAACUCCUUCCACUCGUUCUGGCAGCUACUUACCAGACUGUGCCUAAAUUGACUUCUAAAGUUAUUUGCUUCCAACACGUGCUACCAAAAAUUAUUUUUUUAAAAACUUUUUUUUUGAAGUUCUGGGGUUUUUUUUAAAGAAAAAAAACGAAAGUUUAAAGUGUUUUAUUGUGGGAAGCCACAGUUCAGAGCACAGCAGACUGUGCUGUACAAUUGUUUUAGUGGGGGCUAUUAAUUGGGGGGGAGUGGGGAAGAUGUUUACAUGUUGAUGCACAAAGGCCACAAUGAGAAUAAAUAUGUAUCAGUGUAUGAGAACUGAAGUUGUUCCAGAUUUCACUUGUUGGCACUAAUAAACAGACCAUGCAUGGUACUAUCUGGGAAACUCCUGGGAAGGUAAAUGGUUUGAAAGCUUUCCUGGCUGUUAAACUAGAAGUACCUGGAAUUGUAUAUCCGGAAAUCGGUUUAUUGUAACAGACUCGAUGUGGACUUCAAUGAGAAGUUUCCCAGUUCACAAUGAAAUACAGGCAUGCUGUUGGUUGCUA